rnacentral:rRNA from 1 species
GACGAACGCUGGCGGCGUGCUUAACACAUGCAAGUCGAACGGUGAAGCGCCUUCCUUUUUGGUGGGUGGGGAUGAGUGGCGGACGGACGAGUAACACGUGAGUAACCUUCCCCCUUCUUCUGGGUAACCGCAUGAAAGUGCGGCUAAUACGGGAUAUUCUGGGGCUGUCGCUUGAUGGGUCUGGGAGAGAUUUUGUGUCGGUGGGGGAUGGGGCCGCGGCUUAUCAGCUUGUUGGUGGGGUGAUGGCCUACCAAGGCGGUGACGGGUAGCCGGCCUGAGAGGGUGGACGGCCACGCGGGGGAUGAGCCACGGCGGGGCCUCCUACGGGCGGCAGCAGUGGCGAGUAUCGCACGGGGGGAAUAAUGCUGAUGCAGCGACGCCGUGUUGGGGAAGGAGCCCGUCGGGUUGUAAACCUCUUUGGCUGGUGAACCAGUCCUGCAGCGUCUGUGGGUGGGUUGACGGUACCUGGAUAAGAAGCACCGGCUAACUACGUG